AGUGGCGAAAGGGUGAGUAACACGUAGGAAUCUACCUUUAAGACUGGGAUAACAGUUGGAAACGACUGCUAAUACCGGAUACGAUAUUAAAUGAUAAGUUAUUCAAUAUUGAAAGGAGCCUUUAAAGCUUCACUUAAAGAUGAGCCUGCGGCGUAUUAGCUAGUAGGUGGGGUAACGGCCUACCUAGGCUACGACGGUUAGCCGGUCUGAGAGGAUGAUCGGCCACAUUGGAACAGAAACACGGUCCAGACUCCUACGGGAGGCAGCAGUGAGGAAUCUUGCGCAAUGGGCGAAAGCCUGACGCAGCGACACCGCGUGAGGGAUGAAGGUCUUCGGAUUGUAAACCUUUGUCAGUGGGGACGAGAACGGACGGUACCUACUGAGGAAGCAUCGGCUUACUACGUGCCAGCAGCCGCGGUAAUACGUAGGAUGCAAGCGUUGUCCGGAAUUACUGGGCGUAAAGAGCUCGUAGGCGGGAAGGUACGUUUGGAAGUAAAUCUCACGGCUCAACUGUGAGCUCAUUCCGAAUACGGCUUUUCUUGAGGGCAGCAGGGGAGAAUGGAAUUCCCAGUGUAGCGGUGAAAUGCGUAGAUAUUGGGAAGAAUACCGGUGGCGAAGGCGAUUCUCUGGGCUGUGACUGACGCUGAGGAGCGAAAGCGUGGGUAGCGAACGGGAUUAGAUACCCCGGUAGUCCACGCUGUAAACGAUGGAUGCUAGACGUGUGGGGUAUCGACCCCCGCGGUGUCGCAGCUAACGCAUUAAGCAUCCCGCCUGAGGAGUACGGCCGCAAGGUUAAAACUCAAAGGAAUUGACGGGGGCCCGCACAAGUGGUGGAGCAUGUGGUUUAAUUCGACGCUACGCGAAGAACCUUACCUGGGUUUGACAUUCACAGGAAGAAUGCAGAGAUGUAUUCGCCUUCGGGCCUGUGAACAGGUGCUGCAUGGCUGUCGUCAGCUCGUGCCGUGAGGUGUUGGGUUAAGUCCCGCAACGAGCGCAACCCCUAUCUUUAGUAGCCAGCGGUUUGGCCGGGCACUCUAGAGAGACUGCCAGGGAUAACCUGGAGGAAGGUGGGGAUGACGUCAAAUCAUCAUGCCCCUUAUGAGCAGGGCUACACACGUGCUACAAUGGCGUAAACAAAGGGAAGCAAGCCUGCGAGGGUAAGCAAAUCUCAAAAAUAACGUCUCAGUUCGGAUUGUAGUCUGCAACUCGACUACAUGAAGCUGGAAUCGCUAGUAAUCGCAGAUCAGAAUGCUGCGGUGAAUACGUUCCCGGGUCUUGCACACACCGCCCGUCA
rnacentral:rRNA from 1 species